GACAAAGAGAGAGAGCAUGAGAGUGUGUCCAUGUGUCCGUGGAACUGGUGCUAGACUAAAACAAGAACCAAUGUUGCAGCCACAAAACUGUGGCUUUCUUUGCAGGUUCCUCAAUUUAACAUCUUAGCUUUUCCUUCCGCCAGAAAAAACAACCGACCGUACUGGAGAAACAAGCCUCCUUACGACUUAAAGUGGGGCUGAGGCAGGCGUGGCUCUGAAGUUGAGCAAAACUCAUUUUAACUCAAGAGGCCUUUGUGCUUUUGGUAACAAGGAGAAGUUGACAAGAGAAUUUUCUGAGAAGAAUGCAAAGUGAAUAAGGAAACAUCAAUGAUGCCUGCUCCUGUGUUCUUGGUCAUCAAAUAUGCUUAUGAUCAGAUCUCUUCAGUCAGCUUCAGAACUAAAAACCCAUCGCAAUCUACAUCUGGGGAAAAGAUGCUGGUGUGGAAGAGAGGACAUGGAAUACACAGAUGCUUCCAGGGAGGCAGGAUGGAGCCUGAAAUCCUGGCUUCUCAGAGCCCCUCCCCACCUCCAACUGCCCAGUGACCUUGGGCCACUUCCUUCAACAACUAAGCCCACUCCUCAGCUCUAAAGGUAGUUGGGUGUGAGGGUGGGGGAGAA